rnacentral:misc_RNA from 1 species
CCGAGUGAGGGCCCCCGGCCCGACCUCCAACCCUUUGUUGACCAACACCUGUUGCCUCGGGGGCGACCCGGCCUCCGUGCCGGGGUCCCCGACGGACCUCAAACUCUGUGUCUGUACGUCGGAGUGUAAAUUGAAUCAAUCA